AACGAACGCUGGCGGCAUGCCUAACACAUGCAAGUCGAACGAGACCUUCGGGUCUAGUGGCGCACGGGUGCGUAACGCGUGGGAACCUGCCCUUAGGUUCGGAAUAACUCCCCGAAAGGGGGGCUAAUACCGGGUAAUGUCUUCGGACCAAAGAUUUAUCGCCUUUGGAUGGGCCCGCGUUGGAUUAGCUAGGUGGUAGGGUAAAAGCCUACCAAGGCGACGAUCCAUAGCUGGUCUGAGAGGAUGAUCAGCCACACUGGGACUGAGACACGGCCCAGACUCCUACGGGAGGCAGCAGUGGGGAAUAUUGGACAAUGGGCGAAAGCCUGAUCCAGCAAUGCCGCGUGAGUGAUGAAGGCCUUAGGGUUGUAAAGCUCUUUUACCCGGGAUGAUAAUGACAGUACCGGGAGAAUAAGCUCCGGCUAACUCCGUG
rnacentral:rRNA from 1 species